UGGGGAAUCUUCCGCAAUGGGUGAGAGCCUGACGGAGCAACGCCGCGUGAAUGAAGACGGCCUUCGGGUUGUAAAGUUCUGUCCUUGGGGAAGAACCGGUACUAGAGAUAAUGCUAGUGCUCUGACGGUACCUGAGGAGGAAGCCCUGGCUAACUACGUGCCAGCAGCCGCGGUAACACGUAGAGGGCAAGCGUUGUCCGGAAUCAUUGGGCGUAAAGGGUACGCAGGCGGAUAUGCAAGUCAAAUGUGAAAGGUACCGGCCCAACCGGUAGAGUGCAUUUGAAACUGUAUAUCUUGAGUACAGCAGAGGAGAACGGAAUUCCUGGAGUAGCGGUGGAAUGCGUAGAUAUCAGGAAGAACACCAGUGGCGAAAGCGGUUCUCUGGGCUGUAACUGACGCUGAGGUACGAAAGCUGGGGCAGCGAACG
rnacentral:rRNA from 1 species